rnacentral:tRNA from 1 species
GGAAGGGUGGCAGAGUGGUCGAUUGCACUGGUCUUGAAAACCAGCGACGGGCAACCGUCCGUGGGUUCGAAUCCCACCCCUUCCG